rnacentral:rRNA from 1 species
UAGGGAAUAUUGCGCAAUGGGGGAAACCCUGACGCAGCGACGCCGCGUGUGGGAUGAAGGUCUUCGGAUUGUAAACCACUGUCGCGAGGGACGAAGCUCUGACGGUACCUCGAAAGGAAGCACCGGCUAACUCUGUGCCAGCAGCCGCGGUAAUACAGAGGGUGCGAGCGUUGUCCGGAAUCACUGGGCGUAAAGGGCGCGUAGGCGGCCCGGUAAGUAGGGGGUGAAAUCUCAUGGCUCAACUGUGAGGCUGCCUUCUAGACUGCCAGGCUUGAGCACAGUAGAGGCGAGUGGAAUUCCCGGUGUAGCGGUGGAAUGCGUAGAGAUCGGGAAGAACAUCGGUGGCGAAGGCGGCUCGCUGGGCUGUUGCUGACGCUGAGGCGCGAAAGCGUGGGGAGCAAACAGGAUUAGAUACCCGCGUAGUCCCUGAGCGGGCUGGCAAGGCGCAU